UGCGAUCAUACCAAAGUGAUGGAACAAAUGAAUUGGGAUCCCAUCGUAACUCCGCAGUUAAGCGUGCUUGGGAGAGAGUAGUACUAGGAUGGGUGACCUCGAAGUCCUCGUGUUGCAC